GACCCAACCCAAUUUCAGCGAUUACACAGAACAGUUCCCCAAUGCGUGAGAGAACGACGACCCAAACCCAGAAUUCGAUCGUGUGUGACACGUCUUCUUCCCUUUCUCAGUCUGGUUGUGCGAUUUUUAGAGGAAGGCAGCGUAAUUGUGCAGAGAGCAAGGCGAGGUGGCAAAAUCCCAGCUCUCUCUCGUCCUAGAGUCAAUAUCGAACGACUCUCCUUUCAAUUCCGUUGGGAAUUAGUACUAUGGACAACUUUCAAACCUGUUCCUCUGAAGAGAUUUUGAAUUUCAAAUCUUGAAUUGGACCCCAUCCUUACCCGUUUUCCCACCUAAAUCAUCCCUAAUUUCCAUCUAUUUAAACCUACUCUUAUCUUCAUUAUUGAGGGGGCUGAAAAGAGGAAGUAAGAAAAAAAAAGAAAAAAAAACAUACUAAUCAUAUACUGUUUUCAUCAAUCGAUCGAAAUACGUAGAAAUAGGAUUCAAUCGAUAAAAUUUGGAAGGUUAGCUUGGGAUUUUUCUCUCAAGGCGUUCAUUGAAGAUUUGUGGUGAAGUCGUCGCCAGCUCUUGGUUCCAGUUUGCUGCCCGGAAAAAUGCUCACACUACCAUAUAUGAGGCGUCCAGCCCCCUCUAAACUGGUGUACAGGUCGAAAAGCAGCAAAUAUGUUGCUGGAAAAUAAUUUGCAGGUCUCCAAAAGCCCAAGAAAGGGAUAAUAUACUGUUGUAUACACUCAUAUACAGUCGGAAUAUGUGAUGCACAGUUCCAAAAAAUUAUACAGGUUUUGGAAAUUUGAUCUGGGGCAGCAUACAUUCGGUAUACAUCCCAAGAUACAGGAAACGGGGCUAAUAUAUGAAUUUUAUACCCUGAUAUACAACGUUUGUAUACAAAAACGGAAAUUGAUAUGAAGUCCAAAGUCAGCAGCUUUGGCCCAAUGUUUCUGGGCAGCAAUAGGCCCAGAAGGCCCAAACCUUCCUCUCUCACUCUUUUUUUAUUUGAAUUUAUUAAUUUGUCUAACUCUCACUUUAUUUGCUAAUUGAUUUUAAGAAUAACUUAAUUAAAUUCCCCAAAAGAUGAACCAUAUUUCAAUUUCUUGUUCAAAUA